AAUAUUGGACAAUGGGCGAAAGCCUGAUCCGGCCAUGCCGCGUGUGUGAAGAAGGUCUUCGGAUUGUAAAGCACUUUGAGUUGGGAGGAAGGGCAGUAAGUUAAUACCUUGCUGUUUUGACGUUACCGACAGAAUAAGCACCGGCUAACUUCGUGCCAGCAGCCGCGGUAAUACGAAGGGUGCAAGGUUUAAACGGAAUUACUGGGAGUAAAGCGCGCGUAGGUGGUUUGUUAAGGUUGAAGUGAAAGCCCCGGGCUCAACCUGGGAACUGCUUUCAUAACUGCUGAGCUAGAGUACGGUAGAGGGUAGUGGAAUUUCCUGUGUAGCGGUGAAAUGCGUAGAUAUAGGAAGGAACACCAGUGGCGAAGGCGACUACCUGGACUGAUACUGACACUGAGGUGCGAAAGCGUGGGGAGCAAAC
rnacentral:rRNA from 1 species